rnacentral:rRNA from 1 species
UACCUGCAGCUCGAGUGGUAACCGCUAUUAUUGGGCCUAAAGCGUCCGUAGCCGGUUUGGUAAAUAUCUGGGUAAAUCGUGAGGCUUAACUUCACGAAUUUCGGAUAGACUGCCAGACUUGGGAUCGGGGGAGGUCAGAGGUACUCCAGGGGUAGCGGUGAAAUGUUGUAAUCCUUGGAGGACCACCGGUAGCGAAGGCGUCUGACUAGAACGAGUCCGACGGUGAGGGGCGAAGCCCUGGGGCGCAAACCGGAUUAGAUACCCGGGUAGUCCAGGGUGUAAACAAUGUGGGCUUUGUACUGGAGGUCCCACGUGGGCGUCCAGUGCAGAAGAGAAGUUGUUAAGCCCACCGCCUGGGAAGUACGGUCGCAAGGCUGAAACUUAAAGGAAUUGGCGGGGGAGCACAGCAACGGGAGGAGCGUGCGGUUU